rnacentral:rRNA from 1 species
UACGAAGGGGCUAGCGUUGCUCGGAAUCACUGGGCGUAAAGGCGCGUAGGCGGCCGGCCAAGUCGGGGUGAAAGCCUGUGGCUCAACCACAGAAUGGCCCUCGAUACUGGACGGCUCGAGACCGGAAGAGGUUGGUGGAAUUGCGAGUGUAGAGGUGAAAUUCGUAGAUAUUCGCAAGAACACCGGUGGCGAAGGCGGCCAACUGGUCCGGAUCUGACGCUGAGGCGC